rnacentral:rRNA from 1 species
CCCGGGUUGGAUCCCGCCGGACCCUACUGCUAUCGGGGUGGGACUAAGACAGGCGAGUUGAACGACUUCUAGCCAUGAUGAAGUCGUGGCAUACGGCUCAGUAACACGUGGCUAACCUACCCUUGAGACGGAGACAACCCCGGGAAACUGGGGCUAAUCCCAGAUAGAUGAGAACUCCUGGAACGGGUUCUCGUCCAAAAGGCGUCUAGGCCAUGCUUCUAGAUGUUGCUCAAGGAUGGGGCCGCGGCCGAUCAGGCUGUUGGUGAGGCAACGGCUCACCAAACCUAUAACCGGUACGGGCCGUGGGAGCGGGAGCCCGGAGAUGGGAACUGAGACAAGGUCCCAGGCCCUACGGGGCGCAGCCGUUGCGAAAACUUGUCAAUGCACGAAAGUGUGAACGGGCUACCCCGAGUGCUGUCCGCUGAGGAUGGCUUUUCUCUGCUGUUAGAAGGCGGGGGAAUAAGGAGAGGGCAAGUCUGGUGUCAGCCGCCGCGGUAAUACCAGCUCUCCGAGUGGUGGGGGUGUUUAUUGGGCUUAAAGCGUCCGUAGCCUGCCUUUCAAGUCUCUCGUUAAAUCCGGCGAUUCAAUCGUUGGACUGCGGGAGAUACUGUUAGGCUAGGGGGCGGGAGAAGCCGACGGUAUCUCCGGGGUAGGGGUAAAAUUCUAUAAUCCCGGGAGGACCACCAGUGGCGUAGGCGGUCGGCUAGCACGCGCUCGACGGUGAGGGACGAAAGCUGGGGGAGCAAACCGGAUUAGAUACCCGGAUAGUCCCAGCUGUAAACGAUGCGGGCUAGGUGUUGGGGUGGCCACGAGCCACUUCAGUGCCGCAGGGAAGCCAUUAAGCCCGCCGCCUGGGGAGUACGGCCGCAAGGCUGAAACUUAAAGGAAUUGGCGGGGGAGCACCACAAGGGGUGAAGCUUGCGGUUCAAUUGGAUUCAACGCCGGGA